rnacentral:rRNA from 1 species
GAAAUGCGAUAAGUAAUGUGAAUUGCAGAAUUCAGUGAAUCAUCGAAUCUUUGAACGCACCUUGCGCUCCUUGGUAUUCCUUGGAGCAUGCCUGUUUGAGUAUCAUGAAAUUAUCAAAGCAAGUCUUUUGUUCGUUCGAUCGACUUUGUUUUGGACUUGGAGGUCUGCAGAUUCACGUCUGCUCCUCUUAAAUGCAUUAGCUGGAUCUCGGUGAGCUCGGUUCCACUCGGCGUGAUAAGUAUCACUCGCUGAGGACACCCGUAAAAAAGGUGGCCGGGAUCGCGGAUGAACCGCUUCCAAUAGUCCAUUUGCUUGGACAAUACACUUUAUGAUCUGAUCUCAAAUCAGGUAGGACUACCCGCUGAACUUAAGCAUAUCAAUAAGCGGAGGAAAAGAAACU